AAAUUGAAGAGUUUGAUCAUGGCUCAGAUUGAACGCUGGCGGCAGGCCUAACACAUGCAAGUCGAACGGUAGCACAGAGAGCUUGCUCUCGGGUGACGAGUGGCGGACGGGUGAGUAAUGUCUGGGAAACUGCCUGAUGGAGGGGGAUAACUACUGGAAACGGUGGCUAAUACCGCAUAACGUCGCAAGACCAAAGAGGGGGACCUUCGGGCCUCUUGCCAUCAGAUGUGCCCAGAUGGGAUUAGCUUGUUGGUGAGGUAACGGCUCACCAAGGCGACGAUCCCUAGCUGGUCUGAGAGGAUGACCAGCCACACUGGAACUGAGACACGGUCCAGACUCCUACGGGAGGCAGCAGUGGGGAAUAUUGCACAAUGGGCGCAAGCCUGAUGCAGCCAUGCCGCGUGUAUGAAGAAGGCCUUCGGGUUGUAAAGUACUUUCAGCGGGGAGGAAGGUGUUGUGGUUAAUAACCGCAGCAAUUGACGUUACCCGCAGAAGAAGCACCGGCUAACUCCGUGCCAGCAGCCGCGGUAAUACGGAGGGUGCAAGCGUUAAUCGGAAUUACUGGGCGUAAAGCGCACGCAGGCGGUCUGUCAAGUCGGAUGUGAAAUCCCCGGGCUCAACCUGGGAACUGCAUUCGAAACUGGCAGGCUUGAGUCUUGUAGAGGGGGGUAGAAUUCCAGGUGUAGCGGUGAAAUGCGUAGAGAUCUGGAGGAAUACCGGUGGCGAAGGCGGCCCCCUGGACAAAGACUGACGCUCAGGUGCGAAAGCGUGGGGAGCAAACAGGAUUAGAUACCCUGGUAGUCCACGCCGUAAACGAUGUCUACUUGGAGGUUGUGCCCUUGAGGCGUGGCUUCCGGAGCUAACGCGUUAAGUAGACCGCCUGGGGAGUACGGCCGCAAGGUUAAAACUCAAAUGAAUUGACGGGGGCCCGCACAAGCGGUGGAGCAUGUGGUUUAAUUCGAUGCAACGCGAAGAACCUUACCUGGUCUUGACAUCCACGGAACUUUCCAGAGAUGGAUUGGUGCCUUCGGGAACCGUGAGACAGGUGCUGCAUGGCUGUCGUCAGCUCGUGUUGUGAAAUGUUGGGUUAAGUCCCGCAACGAGCGCAACCCUUAUCCUUUGUUGCCAGCGGUCCGGCCGGGAACUCAAAGGAGACUGCCAGUGAUAAACUGGAGGAAGGUGGGGAUGACGUCAAGUCAUCAUGGCCCUUACGACCAGGGCUACACACGUGCUACAAUGGCGCAUACAAAGAGAAGCGACCUCGCGAGAGCAAGCGGACCUCAUAAAGUGCGUCGUAGUCCGGAUUGGAGUCUGCAACUCGACUCCAUGAAGUCGGAAUCGCUAGUAAUCGUGGAUCAGAAUGCCACGGUGAAUACGUUCCCGGGCCUUGUACACACCGCCCGUCACACCAUGGGAGUGGGUUGCAAAAGAAGUAGGUAGCUUAACCUUCGGGAGGGCGCUUACCACUUUGUGAUUCAUGACUGGGGUGAAGUCGUAACAAGGUAACCGUAGGGGAACCUGCGGUUGGAUCACCUCCUUA
rnacentral:rRNA from 1 species